GUCAUUUAUCUGCGACCCUUUUUUAAUUAGUGACUAUCCUGCUUCUCUUGGCUUAUCUGGGCUGCCAGGUGGCGGCCGUUGAGGGGGGGAUGAUGUCGGGUUCUGGGAGUUGCUGACUUUAUUUUGUGCCUGCUAUUAACUGUGCUUCACCCCUAGGUGCCGCCUGUGCUCUGUUAGGUUAAGGACAGGUGUUUUCCAUCUCCGUGAUCAGCUGGGAGGUUAAAAAGGAGCUUGCUGCCAGCACUUCCACGCCUGAGUGUUUUGCCUCUGUGGUUCAGUUUUGGACACAGCUCAAGUUCCUUUGAAGAACCUACCUGCCUUCGCCUUUUCAUGCCAAGAAUUCGAGUUUGGAUAUUCCGUCAAGCUCCGCUGGCAGCAACCAGACUCCAUAACCUCAGCUUCCUCCGAGCGAAACCUGUCCACCCUCCAAUGAGCGGCACCUCUGGACUCCAUCUGAAAGAACGCACCGAACCUAAGUUCUGAUCCUUGGGAAGAAUCAGUCAAACCUACGUAACCAGGCUUAUCAAGCUUACCAAACCUGGAACCUUAACAGUAAGAUACAUUACACAGCAAAUCCUAACUGUUACCACUUACCUGUUACCUCUCCAUGCAGCCGAGGAGUUUUUGCCCUGGACCACGCCUUCCACAAUCCUGUGAUAAAAUAAACUCUUUAAACUUUA